rnacentral:rRNA from 1 species
GACGAACGCUGGCGGCGUGCCUAAUACAUGCAAGUCGAGCGCAGGAAGCCGUCUGAACCCUUCGGGGGGACGACGGUGGAAUGAGCGGCGGACGGGUGAGUAACACGUAAAGAACCUGCCCAUAGGUCUGGGAUAACCACGAGAAAUCGGGGCUAAUACCGGAUGUGUCAUCGGACCGCAUGGUCCGCUGAUGAAAGGCGCUCCGGCGUCGCCCAUGGCUGGCUUUGCGGUGCAUUAGCUAGUUGGUGGGGUAACGGCCCACCAAGGCGACGAUGCAUAGCCGACCUGAGAGGGUGAUCGGCCACACUGGGACUGAGACACGGCCCAGACUCCUACGGGAGGCAGCAGUAGGGAAUCUUCCACAAUGGACGAAAGUCUGAUGGAGCAACGCCGCGUGAACGAUGAAGGCUUUCGGGUCGUAAAGUUCUGUUGUAAGGGAAGAACAAGUGCCGCAGGCAAUGGCGGCACCUUGACGGUACCUUGCGAGAAAGCCACGGCUAACUACGUGCCAGCAGCCGCAGUAA